rnacentral:rRNA from 1 species
AUUGAACGCUGGCGGCAGGCCUAACACAUGCAAGUCGAGCGGAGCGGCGGACGGGUGAGUAAUGCCUAGGAAUCUGCCUGGUAGCGGGGGAUAACGUCCGGAAACGGGCGCUAAUACCGCAUACUAUCAGAUGAGCCUAGGUCGGUUUAGCUAGUUGGUGGGGUAAAGGCCUACCAAGGCGCCGAUCCGUAACUGGGCUGAGAGGAUGAGCAGUCACGCUGGAACUGAGACACGGUCAUGCCUCCUACAGUGGGCGACAGUGGGGACUAUUGGACAAUGGGCGAAAGUCUGAUCCAGCCAUGCCGCGUGUGUGCAGAAGGUCUUAGGAUUGUAAAGCAAUUUAAGUUGGGAGGCGUUACCAACAGAAUAAGCACCGGCUAACUUCGUGCCAGCAGCCGCGGUAAUAC